GACGAACGCUGGCGGCGUGCUUAACACAUGCAAGUCGAACGGAAAGGCUCCAGCUUGCUGGAGUACUCGAGUGGCGAACGGGUGAGUAACACGUGGGUAAUCUGCCCUGCACUCUGGGAUAAGCCUGGGAAACUGGGUCUAAUACUGGAUAUGACCUUUCUCCUUAUGGGGUUUGGUGGAAAGUUUUUCGGUGUAGGAUGAGCCCGCGGCCUAUCAGCUUGUUGGUGGGGUGAUGGCCUACCAAGGCGACGACGGGUAGCCGGCCUGGGAGGGUGAUCGGCCACAUUGGGACUGAGAUACGGCCCAGACUCCUACGGGAGGCAGCAGUGGGGAAUAUUGCACAAUGGGCGGAAGCCUGAUGCAGCGACGCCGCGUGAGGGAUGACGGCCUUCGGGUUGUAAACCUCUUUCAGCAGGGACGAAGCGUAAGUGACGGUACCUGCAGAAGAAGCACCGGCUAACUAUGUG
rnacentral:rRNA from 1 species